AUUGAACGCUGGCGGCAGGCCUAACACAUGCAAGUCGAACGAGUGGCGGACGGGUGAGUAAUGUCUGGGAAACUGCCUGAUGGAGGGGGAUAACUACUGGAAACGGUAGCUAAUACCGCAUACCAUCGGAUGUGCCCAGAUGGGAUUAGCUAGUAGGUGGGGUAACGGCUCACCUAGGCGACGAUCCCUAGCUGGUCUGAGAGGGUGACCGGCAACACUGGAACUGAGACACGGUCCAGACUCCUACGGGAGGCAGCAGUGGGGAAUAUUGCACAAUGGGCGCAAGCCUGAUACAGCCAUGCCGCGUGUAUGAAGAAGGCCUUCGGGUUGUAAAGUACUUUUAGCGGGGAGGCGUUACCCGCAGAGGAAGCACCGGCUAACUCCGUGCCAGCAGCCGCGGUAAUAC
rnacentral:rRNA from 1 species